rnacentral:lncRNA from 10 species
UGAUGAGGUCAGGAGAUCGACACCAUUCUGGCUAACAUGGUGAAACCCCGUCUCUACUAAAAAAUACAAAAAAUGAGCCGGGCGUGGUGGCAGGCGCCUGUAGUCCCAGCUACUCGGGAGGCCGAGGCAGGAGAAUGGCGUGAACCCGGGAGGCGGAGCUUGCAGUGACUUGCAGUGAGCUGAGAUCGCGCCUCUGCACUCCAGCCUGGGUGACAGAGCAAGACUCCAUGUCGAAAGAAAAGAAAAGCAGCCCACAAAAGAAAAGGAUUCGCUAUGCUUAAAUCCAUGAUGUAAUAAAGCCAUUAAAUACGGAUAUGCCUAAAGAACAAACGUAAAAUACUUGAUGUCUGUAAGAAGUACUUCGUGGCCGCAACUCUACUAGCUACCUAGCUGUUGUUAAUAAUAGACGACUUAAAAGUCGCUAUUUCUUAUAAUUUGUAUAUGCUUUAGAAACAGUUGGAAUUAUGCACUGUCCUAUUGCAAGUGGGCUACACAGAUUGCACUCGAGUUUCUUUUCUUAGCUGGUUGCCAUGUCUUUACCCAGGAGAGAAUUUAGCAACUGCUUCAAGGUAUAGCAGCAAUACAGUUCAUAGGAUCUCCACAUCUACAUGACAUGUAAAUUAAAGAAAGGAUGAAAGGCAAGUGAUAAAAAAAUUUUUCCUCAGUGAUCAAGGCUGCAGAAUAAUCAAACCCACAGAUGACUAAGGAAGAUUUUUAAAGCUAAGGGACAAAAAUACCUGCUCUCUACGAUAACCUUUGUCACUCUCAGUGCCCUGGGAAAAAAAAAAAAGAAGAAAACACAAAUAUCUUUGUCUUAGAAAUGAAAAGGCACAGGGUUUCACCGACUUUAGAAAUGUUUUGACUCAGUUGGGAAUGAGAUUAAUGAUUUUGUGAAAUCAAAGUAUGCAAGAGGUUCCAGCUGGGAUCUGACUCAGCUGAUUAACCAGCAUGAACUAAGGACUGGCAUUGAGUUGAAUUGUGAUUGCAUGCCUUCACAGCCACAAAAAAACAUCAAAAGAAUAAAUGUGCAACCUCAUACUCCAAUGACGGUAUAAGAGGUUAAAAAGCAAUCAUUUAUGUAUCAAGCUCAGAAAAUAUUCAACAUUUAUUUGUAAGACUGUAUGGUAAUGCGAGUGCAGAUCCCUGUGUCUGUUUGAGUGUCUGCAUGUGGUAUCGUGCAGAUGGAAAUCAAUUUGUUUUCCAUGAAAGUGAUUUCCCUCAAUAGACAUACAUUUUGCCCUAAUCUAUGACUGUUAAAAUAUACAAAGAAAAUAAACUACAGAAAUAUUUAUCACCCAGGGAACAUACAUUAGUAGAUUAUUACAGCUUCAAAAUCAUAUCACUUUUGAUAGGACAACAUUUGACACACAGAAAAAUUAAAGAAUACAGAGAAAUCAUUUAAUGAAUAGAACGCUCAUUACUUGACAUGCAAUAUAAUCGUUAAUAGCUAUUUCUAUGCCUUUUUUGAAGGACAACAUUGAAAGGAAGUUUGUAAUCUAACCUUUCUCUUAAAUAGGACAUCUGGGAAAUGAGUGACCCAGUCAAAUUGUUGCUUUUACAUCCUAGUAAUAAGACCUUUUGGUAAAUAUACACAUGCUAUUUCCUACCAGAUUGGAAAUGGAGAGUCCUUAUCAGCAAAAAUGCUUUUAGCAUUAUGCAUAAAUUUUGCAGGCCUAGCUAGCUGAAGAAUACUGAUAAACUGUGUAAAUAACGGUAUAUAAAAAAUGGAGAUAUUCUGUAACUAAAUGUGUUCUAUGUUAGCCAUAUAUUCUCAUGCAUUACUCAACAUAAACUUUACGUGUUUAGUCCUAAUAUGGGAGAAAUAAUACUGUGGGGAGAUGCAUUAGAUGGUCAGAGACCACUCUAAAGAAAGAAUAAUUUGUUCCAUGUGAUUGCCCAUAUCCUUUGAAUCGUUAAUAAAACAUGUUACUGAG